UGAAGUAUCGUAUCGCUUCGUAGACUGC
rnacentral:piRNA from 2 species